rnacentral:rRNA from 1 species
UACAGAGGGUGCGAGCGUUGUUCGGAAUUAUUGGGCGUAAAGGGCGCGUAGGCGGCGCGGUAAGUCACCUGUGAAAUCUCCUGGCUCAACUGGGAGCUUGCAGGCGAAACUGCCGUGCUGGAGUGUGGGAGAGGUGCGUGGAAUUCCUGGUGUAGCGGUGAAAUGCGUAGAUAUCAGGAGGAACACCGGUGGCGAAGGCGGGUCUCUGGGCCGAAACUGACGCUGAGGAGCGAAGGCGUGGGGAGCGAACGGG